GGAAAUUUCAGGAAGAGUAGGCCUGCAGAGAUCAGGAAAGGGCAAUGCAAACAGCAAGCUCUGAAGGCUUCUGCGUAGAGCCGGAUGACCUUCACCCCCAGCCCUGAGCCUCUUCCCCACCAGAGUGAAAGGGAAAGUGGACCUGAUGAUGAACGCCUAGUACAAGCUGCUCAAGCUUCUCUCCAUGAAGGCCCGAAUAACGAUGUGGACACGGUGUUAUAAAAUGAUUCCCACAGCAGGAUGGGAAUUAACAUUUGUUUGUUUGUUUCAGACCAACUAUUUAUUGUCAGCGUACAGAGACUUCUGAAGGAGUCGAGCUGAGGAACAGCUGAGAGAAACUCUCUGAUGACGGGCAUGAAAGCAGUGUGUGCCAGGAAACAAUAAAGCAGGGGGUUGGAGACAAAACUCAGCAGCUCAGGAAGCACACACACCACAGGCAUAAUUUCUCAUCAGUGUCAGAAAGUGCUUCUCCUGCUCUAAGAGGUGGUCACCAGCAGCCAACACAGUUUAAGAAGAGAGAGCAUCUGUCUUCAUCAACCCACUCAAGCCUCCUGGAGCUCCCGGUAGUGAACAGGAGAAGACUCAAUACGGUUCUUGCACAAUGAGGCUGGCUGCCCUCUUGUUAUCAAGAGUCACUCAUGGAGCAUCUAGAUUGGCACCUCUUCCAAUUCAAAGCACAUUCUGGGACCUGCAGUGGCUGUUAAUCAGCAAGUGUUUACUGAGCUUGCUUUAAUGUGCUUUGCUCCCUCUCUCUCU